rnacentral:rRNA from 1 species
UACGGGGGGAGCAAGCGUUGUUCGGAUUUACUGGGCGUAAAGGGCGCGUAGGCGGUCAGCACAAGUCAGUUGUGAAAUCUCCGGGCUUAACUCGGAAAGGUCAACUGAUACUGUGCGACUAGAGUGCGGAAGGGGCAACUGGAAUUCUCGGUGUAGCGGUGAAAUGCGUAGAUAUCAGGAGGAACACCAGUGGCGAAGGCGGGUCUCUGGGCAGUAACUGACGCUGAGGAGCGAAAGCCAGGGGAGCGAACGGG